rnacentral:lncRNA from 1 species
UGCAUGUUGUCUGUCGAACCCUAUAUGCUGCAGCCAUCUAUAAACCUUGAUACAUUAUCUGAGGAAAGGAGGAUUCUGAUCCAACUCGAGGUAAGGUUCAUCAGUGUUUUGCCAUCAGAGUUAUAGGUAGUUGCUAUAUCAUUUGGCAACCUUCCUUCUCCCAUGAUACAUUAUGUAAAAGAUAGCAUUAUGGUGAUCA